rnacentral:lncRNA from 1 species
CGGUUGUCUGCAAGAGAUCACCUAGUCAUUUGAUGGAGUUUGCACAUUGGUGUCGUCGGAGGCUCCACGCGGUGGUGAUUCUUUCCGGAACGAAUAUCCGAUCUUGCUCCUCUUUCCUUUUGCUUUGAUUUUGUUUAUGUGGUUUGUGGUGAUAUUGACUUUAUGAAUGGUGGUGUUGAUUUAAUUUAAUGGUGAUAUUAUGGAAAUUUCGAAGGUUGGUGAGAGAUGUUGGUGAUGAUGGAGAUGUAAGGUUGAUUGAAGAUGGAGGUCUUUGGUGAGUGUUUUAAAGAGAAAAUUGGAUUGUUAUUGUUGGUAACAAGUUUGUGUUGUAAUUUUUUGUGGAGUGUAUAGUGUAUUCUUAUGUCUCCCUAGUGUGUAAAAGCUCUCAAUUUAUACCGGUUAUGUCAUUAAACUGAAUUAUUUGCUUUGAUUCACUUUUCAAAUUGAUUUUAAAGAAGCUAUUGAAUGAG